ACGCUCGACACCUACGGGAGGUAGCAGUUGGGAAUAUUGGACAAUGGAGGAAACUCUGAUCCAGUGACGCCGCGUGAAGGAAGAAGGUCUUCGGAUUGUAAACUUAUUUUGUCAGGGAAGAAAAAAUGACUGUACCUGAAGAAAAAGCACCGGCUAACUACGUGCCGACAGCCGCGGUAAUCUGAGCGGGCUGGCAAGGC
rnacentral:rRNA from 1 species